UUAUCUUCUUCUUCAUUGUCUUCUUCUUCUUUCUGAUCAUUUUCUUCUAUGUCUUCUACUUCUACAUUUUCUUCUCUAGCUUCUGUUUCUGCACUACUUGCUUGACCUUCUUUUCCAUUGCUUGAUCUGCUUGCUUGUCUUGUGCAUCAUCCCUCCU
rnacentral:sRNA from 1 species